rnacentral:rRNA from 1 species
UGACACGCCACGCCGCGUGAGCGAAGAAGGCCUUCGGGGUGUAAAGCUCUUCUUCAGGGAAGAAAUGACGGUACCUGACUAAGAAUUGCCGGCCCAUACGAGUAAGGAGCCGCUGUUCUGAGCCAGCCGCCGCGGUAAU